AAAUCCAGCCCUGCAUCAAAUAUGCGGCGCAAAGCGGCGCGCCACUGCAGUAGUUUGACAGGAGCCACUGACACACGCACACCACGAACGGCAACACCGCAAGCCAGAUCGAAGAGGAAAUGAGUCUUCACUUUUUUCGGUACCUCCGUGCGAGAAGAUCGUCGCCGCCACAACGAGGCGAAAAGUUAUAAAAUCCCUUCGCGGGAAUCACAGUGCGCGGUUUGUGAGUGAUUGUCACCGGUGGUUUAAUUCGGGAACCGAAAUUCACCCGAAAUCGUUCACCGUGAGGUAAAUCCGGUUUCGAGACGCCGGCAACAAACGCACCAAAGGUCAGGAAAAAGUUCCAGAAUCACGCAGGAAGGUAGACGGUCCAAGAAAGCACGGCACCGAACGCAAGUUGACUUCAGUCAACGGGCCGUCAAUCGAAGGGCAAAAGAUCACCCGAAGGUCAGAACAAAACCACGGGGAAGUGAACCAAACACACAUCCGUCGGAGAUCGGUUACAAUUCCGUCAGAGCCAAAACACCCCAUUCGCUGGGGUGUUUCUAUGGGAGCUGAGCUGCGCAUGCUGAAGGACGAUUUGUGCUUGUGUUGAUCCGGUGACUGUCGUGUGGAAUUGGUGAAAGGCGUGCGGCCUCCAGUACACGGUCGACUGGACGGCCAUAGGGAUCUCCAGCAGAGGAGUUGCGCAGAAAAGGAAGUUUGCCAGCACGGAGAGGUCGGAGGCGCAGUUGUCCCAGUGAUCCCGUCGUCGCCAUCAAGGAGGGAAUUGGCCGGUAUUUCCACCGCUAGUGCCGCCAGGAAAGCCGUCCGUCAUAACCGCAAACGGAGAUCUGGAGACGAGACAUCAAGUAGGAGCGAUUGAUGGCAAAUCGUCGCAGAUUAUGGAGUUGUGCGAGGAGAUGGGUGAGGCGAGACUAGGGGGACGCCCCGCAGUUCGUGAGUACGAAAACAAAAAUGUUAGCGUGUAAGAAGAUGUGAAUAGAGAAAGAGUAGAGGAGUUAGGCCAAGAAGUAGGAGGCUAGGAAAGGCAAAUGAUGAGGGCGGAUGCCCUAAAUACAUGUAUGAAAAUUUAGAUUUGUGGCGUUUUGUUUUGGUUGGUGCUUUGGCCCUCCAGUUUUGUGCAUUUUAGUCCGCUUUGGUAGUUCCGCUCUAC